UCUAAAACAUAAAAGUUAUCAAAUUUGCAAAACCCAACCAACCCGAUAAAGUUAGAAAUUUGGGAAAACUCUGUCAUUUCCUCUCAUUUUGCCCUAACCCAUCUAUAGUUUCCAAAAACCUUCAACGAAGCCAAAGUUGAGCCAUUUCUUCAUCUUUAUUCAUCAAAUGUGCAAUAUUUUGAAGGUUUCUAGAAACCGAAGUGGAACUUCCUCUUCCUUUUGGAUUAAUCGCAGAGGGGUGCAUCAAACAGCAAGUUCCUCAACUAUUUAAACAAACACAUACUACCUGUUUUUGAUAAGGCAUGCAACAAAAAUAGACAAACUUGUUAAAGAGGAGACAACUUCUUGGGAAGCAGAAGAAUACCUACUCAUCCUUGGUUCUAAGUGGCUUAUGAAUUAUUGGUGUCCCUGUUAUCAACCCCUCUUGAUGCCCAUCAUGCUGAAGUAGCAACUAGUGCGCAAGCCAAGUGUUACAGAUAUAUACGGACUUUUUGAAGAAACCAACAUUCUAGCAUUCAUAGAUUACUUGGGAAUUGUUUUUGAGGUUACUCCUAGUGAUACACCAUACACUUCUGCCAGUAUUUUUGAAGAUUUGAUUUUGUAACCAGAGCUGUUGAGGGGGAUUUAUGAUGAGAUGAAGUUUGAGAGGCCUAGUAAAAUUGGGGCAAUCAGUUUGCCUAUGAUUUUGACUCCUCCUUACAAAAAUGUAAUUGCUCAAGCUAACAAUGGUUUUGCCAAGACGACUUGUUUUGUACUUGGAAUGUUGACUCGUGUUGAUCCAAAGUUGCAAGUCCCUCAGGCCCUUUGCAUUUGUCCUACAACAAAAUUGGCAAUAUAGAAUCUGGAGGUGGUUCGUAAGUUGGGAAAGCACUGAUAAAAGAAGAACAAGAAAAGACUAAGGUUCUCCUCAUUAAUUCAAUCUCACUUGCACAUGCCAGUUGUGCUUAUGUUUUCUGCUACUUUCAAUGAUACAGUUAAAAAUUACGUUACAAGAAAAGCUUCCUACCAUAAAAUGUUUGUAAAGAAAGAAGAACUAUCCUUGUAGUCUGUGAAGCAGUGUAAGGUGAAAAUCAUUUUGGGGUUCAAAUAGUAGAGGACAACAUGCAUCUAUAUCGAUUGAGGUUGGUCGUUACCUUGGUUACUAGUGCGGCAAACAAUGCUAGAGAGAAGGUCAUGAAGGCAUGUCCAAUGUGAUUAAUAGAGGCCACUUGCAACAUGGAAGGUCACUGAUGGCACCUUACUUGCAUGAGAGUGGGGCUGGUGGUGUCGGCAGUCCAUAAUCAGAAGGUGGAGCCCUCUAUGCUAUUGUGAUGCUCAAAUCAGUUUUAGGUUGCACUAUUAUAAUCAGAAGGUGGAGCCCUCUAUGCUAUUGUGCCCAUGUUGGUUGUGGUCUCGCUAACAACCUUCAUCCUUUGGGUCAUUGAUUGUUAGAAACUGAACACCAUGAAUUGUGUAUGGAUGCCUGUGCGAGUUUGUCAGUUGGGUUCCUUCAGUGUUGAUUAUGUUUUCUUCUAUAAUGUAAUUUUGGAGUUCCAUUUUCGAUUGCUUGUAACAGUUCUUUGAAGAAACCUUCUGAAAUAGUAUACGAAUCUCCUGUGUUUUAGAUGUUUAA